AAUAGUUAUGUUCUUGAAACCCAAAGAAUUUGGCGGUAUUUUAUUCUUUUUAGAGGAACCUGUUCCGUAAUUGAUAGUCCACGAUGGAAAAAUACUUAUUUUUGUUUUCAUUUUGUAUACCUCCGUCAUAAGAAUAUCUUUUUAGAGUUAAUAUUCUAUUUAUACAAAAUAUAAGAUGUCAGGUCAAGGUGCAAUUAAUAGAUAAGUGGAAAUGGGUUACAAUAUAUUUAUAUAUACGAAUUAUUAUUUUAUAUUUAAUAUGAAGGUGGAUUUAAAAGUAAAAUUAUUUUCCUUUUUAAUUUGAUUAUAGCUCUAUAAUAUGCACACAUCGCCCGUCGCUCUUAUUAUAAAAUAAGAUAAGUCGUAACAUAGUAGAUGUACCGGAAGGUGUAUCUAGUA
rnacentral:rRNA from 1 species